rnacentral:misc_RNA from 1 species
UAAUAAGUGUUUUAUGGCACUUUUUAAAUCCAUAUCCACCUUGUGUGCAAUGUCAGUCGAUCUUCUUCAUGGAGAUCGACCAAACAUCAACCUUUAUCUUUUAACAUCUUUGUCUGAAAAUAUUAUGAAUAAACAAUUCAAAAUA